rnacentral:lncRNA from 1 species
CAGCCGUGUGGAAUGUGCCACUCUUGGAACUGAGGCUCUCGGUUUUUAAAAUUGGCUUGUAAAUCUCCGUGUAGUUUUCAGGCUUUAGGAAUUUUAUUUUAUCUGGAUUAAAGUCAUGUUCUGCUUUGGCAUAGGAAGGCGUUUAUGACUGUUAAAACAAGAAAUGAAAAAUAUAGGCCUGCAAUCAGCCGGGCUGCCUCCUGCCAGAGUCUAGGGAUUUGUCUUGGGGGCCAGGCUGAAGGUUUGCUGCCCUUCUCCCCGCACUGCUCUGUGUUUCUCCAGAAAGCUGGAGCUGGCUGCCUGGGAGCGGCUGUCGCGAUGGCUGGGAGGGCCUCAGGAACGAAGCCUUUGUCUUUGCUCAGGUGUGUUCUCACAAUGGGGAGCCACGGCCCUCCCCAAGGACCAGCGAGCAAUGGGCGCAUCUCAUUCGCUGCCUGCAUUUGCCCCCGCCCAUCCAAGAGAGCAGAAUCAGAGAGGGCCAGCCGCGAGUCACGGAGGACAAGAACUGAACGACUUCAUUGCCAUUCAUUGGGUCGCCAUAUUUGCACUGGCAACGAAACCCCCAGGAUACCCCUUGCCCUGGCAAUCAGUGAGUGGGGGUCGUUUCUUGCGUAUAAGAUAUGCUGGAGGUUGGAAGCCCCAAGGGGACAUUAAUAGAAUGUGAAGUAUUCAUGGAAUCCUAUUUAGGGGGAAAAUGGAGUUUGUGUUUGUGAGAGCUCCUUUUUUAAAUCGUGCGGCUGCAGGGAAG